AAACGUUUGUGUAAAAGUGAAGCA
rnacentral:siRNA from 1 species